GCAGGGCAGAGGGGGAGGCUGGCCGCGGUGAGGUCCGCAGGUGCACACGGAGUGCCAGUCUGUGUCCCUGCGGAGCUGGGCCUGGGGGCACGCGAGGUCCCCCCCAUUGUGAAGCGACGUCGGGCGGCCCGGGCACCAGGGCGCUUUGGGAAGCGACGCCUGGACGGAGGGAGGGAUAUGACCUGCUCCCGUUUUGGAGAUGAACAAGGCCUGCUUCAGUUUUGCAGCUCAGCCAGUCUGGGCUUGUGCCCUUAGGAGACAGAUGGCGUGGGACCUUCUGAGCACAGAGCUUCAAUGCUGCGCGGCGGGAAGGGUCUCCCAGGAAGGCUGCAACAAGCCCUUGCUGUGUCUGCCCUGGGCUCCCAGGGGCUGGUCGCUAUGGUACAGAUGAUCAUGAAGGCUCAUGAAAACUUUAAGUUAUACCUCAUGUGACCAUCCAAGCGCUGGCCGAGCGACCUGUGAUCCAGAUUGAUGGUGAGCUGAUUGGCAACUUGCUCUUUUGCAGAAAUUCCAACACCUAACGACUUGUAGAGGGUUGAAAGAUAUGUCCACAUCCCAGACCUAUGGACGAGACCUUGUUUGGAAAUGGGCUCUUUGCAGGUCAUUGCAAAGAAACCACCAUCUACAGGCUUACCACGAAUACAGCAGGAAAUGAACGUGUUGGCAACAGUUCUGUUUCACGUUACAGAGUUAUAAUCACGCAGCUUAGUCUGUCUGGAAACCUAAAUCAGCCAGCAAGUUUUCUUCUGUUUGGAAACCUAAAUCAGCCAGUGAUUGUUUUUUCCCAGGUGAUGUUUCAAAGGAACCCAAGAGUGGAAACAGGGAGAUGUUCCACAGGGGGGUAAAAGGAGUGUCGGCUUAUCAUUUUCACGAGAAUAUUACAUAUGGAAUUAAUAUGGAUACUAAUAAGGAGUGGUUUCCUAUAGUAACUGCAAGAUGCUAGCAGGUCUAGACCCCGGGCUUCUCAGGGGACAGUAAUGGAUGGUUGUGGACAUUUGUGCCUGGAUGCACCCCACCAAGCUGUGAGGAGAGAAAAGCCACCCCGCUUUCCAGAGAGCCUCAUUCUACAUCAGCAUGGCCCUUCGGAUCUCCGAGGUGGUUUUCACAAGAAACUACCAGACCCUUUUGGACACGUUGUCAUCUUCCCAGCCAGCAUCACCGCAGGUCACAGCAUAAGGCUUCAACACACACCCGUACAGGGACCCAGUAUAACCUUAUUAUAUUUAUUGUAACAUGAUAAUAUUAUG